rnacentral:tRNA from 1 species
GCCACCGUAGCUCAGUUGGUAGAGCAACUGAUUCGUAAUCAGUCGGUCGCCAGUUCGAGUCUGGCCGGUGGCU